GCUAUUUCUAAUCUGGACAAAUAUGUAGUUCAGGUUAGAAAACUAUUAGAGUAAUCUGAAUUGGAGAUGAAGAGAGAAUAUAGAAGCUGUGUAAGAGGGAAGGCCAAAUCUUUCAAGGAGUUGGAUUCUCUGGGAUUUGGAGACUGGAUGAAGAUGAUACUCCUGACAAUUUCCAGCUGAUGUAUCCUGUUAGUACCAUUUAAACUAGUGCGGUUGCUCUAAGAAUGUACAAGCCUUCUUCAAAUUAGGGCUUCUUUGUUAUUUUGAAGCAUUUGAAAUGAAAACAUGAAAUUGGCUCUAAAUUGCUUUACCAUUAAAUCUCAAUGAAAGAAAAAAGCUUUCAUUAUUUGAAUGAUUUCAAUUGUAAAUUUUGAAUUAAAAAAUGAUUUCAG
rnacentral:lncRNA from 12 species